rnacentral:rRNA from 1 species
CCUACGGGAGGCAGCAGUGGGGAAUAUUGGACAAUGGGCGAAAGCCUGAUCCAGCAAUUCCGCGUGUGUGAAGAAGGCCUUCGGGUUGUAAAGCACUUUAGUUGGGGAAGAAACAGCUUGGCCACACCAAGCCUUGACGGUACCCAAAGAAUAAGCACCGGCUAACUCUGUGCCAGCAGCCGCGGUAAUACAGAGGGUGCAAGCGUUAAUCGGAUUUACUGGGCGUAAAGGGUGCGUAGGUGGUUUUGUAAGUCGGAUGUGAAAGCCUGGGGCUCAACCUCAGAAUUGCACUCGAUACUGCAAGACUAGAGUUCGGUAGAGGGCGGCGGAAUUCCCGGUGUAGCGGUGAAAUGCGUAGAUAUCGGGAGGAACAUCAAUGGCGAAGGCAGCCGCCUGGGCCUGAACUGACACUGAGGCACGAAAGCGUGGGUAGCAAACAGGAUUAGAUACCCUGGUAGUCCACGCUGUAAACGAUGAGAACUUGACGUUGGUUCGUUUACGAUCGGUGUCGCNGACUACGACGAUAAGUUACGUCCGUCCGUCGGGGUAGGGUACGGGCCGGCGAACGGUUAGGUAAACGUUAAAGUUAAGUUAAGUUAGUACGGUUCGUUGGUAGGACGUUCGCCGACGGACGACCGACGAGGGGAGGAGG